rnacentral:rRNA from 1 species
CUUUGGAAUAACCAUUGGAAACGAUGGCUAAUGCCGAAUAUGACCUCCUUUCGCAUGUUUGGAGGUGGAAAGCUCCGGCGGAGAAGGAUGAGCUCGCGGCCUAUCAGCUUGUUGGUGAGGUAAUGGCUCACCAAGGCAUUGACGGGUAGCCGGCCUGAGAGGGUGACCGGCCACACUGGGACUGAGACACGGCCCAGACUCCUACGGGAGGCAGCAGUGGGGAAUAUUGGACAAUGGGCGAAAGCCUGAUCCAGCAACGCCGCGUGAGGGAUGACGGCCUUCGGGUUGUAAACCUCUUUCAGCAGGGACGAAGCGAGAGUGACGGUACCUGCAGAAGAAGGACCGGCCAACUACGUGCCAGCAGCCGCGGUAAUACGUAGGGUCCGAGCGUUGUCCGGAAUUAUUGGGCGUAAAGGGCUCGUAGGCGGUUUGUCGCGUCGGGAGUGAAAACUCAGGGCUCAACCCUGAGCGUGCUUCCGAUACGGGCAGACUAGAGGUAUGCAGGGGAGAACGGAAUUCCUGGUGUAGCGGUGGAAUGCGCAGAUAUCAGGAGGAACACCGGUGGCGAAGGCGGUUCUCUGGGCAUUAUCUGACGCUGAGGAGCGA